AGAGUUUGAUCAUGGCUCAGGAUGAACGCUGGCGGCGUGCUUAACACAUUCAAGUCGAACGAAGCAUUUUUUGGAAGUUCUUCGGGGUGGAAGAGAGAUGACUGAGUGGCGGACGGGUGAGUAACGCGUGAGCAAUCUGCCUAUGCGAGGGGGAUAACAGCCGGAAACAGCUGCUAAUACCGCAUGAAACAUUUGGGUCGCAUGAUCCGGAUGUCAAAGAGUAACAUCGCGCA
rnacentral:rRNA from 1 species